rnacentral:rRNA from 1 species
GAUGAACGCUAGCUACAGGCUUAACACAUGCAAGUCGAGGGGCAGCACAGUGUAGCAAUACACGGGUGGCGACCGGCGCACGGGUGCGUAACGCGUAUCCAACCUUCCCGUUACUCUUGGAUAGCCUUCCGAAAGGGAGAUUAAUACAAGAUGGUAUUCAAAUUCCGCAUGUUAUUUGAAUUAAAGAUUUAUCGGUAACGGAUGGGGAUGCGUGACAUUAGGUAGAUGGCGGGGUAACGGCCCACCUAGCCGACGAUCUUUAGGGGUUCUGAGAGGAAGGUCCCCCACACUGGUACUGAGACACGGACCAGACUCCUACGGGAGGCAGCAGUGAGGAAUAUUGGUCAAUGGGCGAGAGCCUGAACCAGCCAAGUAGCGUGAAGGAUGACUGCCCUACGGGUUGUAAACUUCUUUUAUACGGGAAUAAAACCUCCCACGUGUGGGAGCUUGUAUGUACCGUAUGAAUAAGCAUCGGCUAACUCCGUG